AUUGAACGCUGGCGGCAUGCUUUACACAUGCAAGUCGAACGGUAACAGGCCUUCGGGUGCUGACGAGUGGCGAACGGGUGAGUAAUGCAUCGGAACGUGCCCAGGGGUGGGGGAUAACGCAGCGAAAGCUGUGCUAAUACCGCAUGUGAUCUGAGGAUGAAAGCGGGGGACCAGGCAGCAAUGUUUGGCCUCGCGCCUUUGGAGCGGCCGAUGUCAGAUUAGGUAGUUGGUGGGGUAAAGGCCUACCAAGCCGACGAUCUGUAGCUGGUCUGAGAGGACGACCAGCCACACUGGGACUGAGACACGGCCCAGACUCCUACGGGAGGCAGCAGUGGGGAAGUUUGGACAAUGGGCGCAAGCCUGAUCCAGCAAUGCCGCGUGCGGGAAGAAGGCCUUCGGGUUGUAAACCGCUUUUGUACGGAACGAAAAGGCUCUGGCUAAUACCUGGGGCUGAUGACGGUACCGUAAGAAUAAGCACCGGCUAACUACGUG
rnacentral:rRNA from 1 species